CACUACGCACUCUUCAAGAGUAAUCUCCUCAUAUUCAUUUUAGUUCUCUCAGUCUCUCUCCGCCUCCCGCUCUCCGUCUAUCAAAUCAGUCCGAUCAACUAUGGUCGUCAGGCCGAUUCAGAUUCGUCUACUCUGUUGGAAGAACAAACGGAAUCAAUCCCAUAAGAAGAAGGAGAUGAAGAAAGAAGAAGAAACAGUACAAUGAUUAUGAUGAUAUCAAAGAGGAUUUUGAUGAUGGAACUGUUGAAGUAUCGGAAAUCGAAGAGAAGAGAAAGAUGAUAUUGAUGAUCAUGGAGGAUCGAAAAGAAAGGAUAAAGAUCAAGCUCUACAUAAGGAUUCAUUGAAGAAAGCAGCACAACUCCUGCUUCUUGAUGAAUACACAUGCCCUAAGAACAGUUUUAAAAGAAAUGGCUGUAUGAACGGAUUGAUGGAAAAGUAAGCAAAGCAGAGAGACAAUUAUCGACCGUUUUAAUGCCAAUAGGCAAUAAUUCUUCCAGAUUCUUUUUCUGCUUUCUACCAGCACUGGUCGUUUGGGAAUAGUUGCUGCUUACACAGUUACGUUUAUGAAAGGUAUAGAAGUGAAGAGAAGCUUCCAGGAGGAAUGCUGCAGAUACAAAACGGUGCACAAGGUGAAAUUGCCAUGGACUCCGAACAUUUUCAUAAUGAUAAGGAAAUACCACCAGUCGGGAGUUCUAAUUCUAUUUCCAGUGAUGCAUUUCUCUUACCUUUUAAGGUUUUAUGUAAAUCACCAUCUUUUCCAAAAGCAUAGACCUUGUUCAUAGUGCUUAUAUGGUAAAACUGUGUUCUUAUGAAACGUUUCUCUUUUUGUUAAGUUCUAUGUAUAAUAUGGAAGUUCUCAGAGAUCCAGAAGCUAAGUUUCAACCACUUUUCAGAGUCACAUCUGACGAUGGAGAGCAGUUUAAAGGAUCCUCUCCAUCUGCUUGCUGGAACAAAAUCUACAAAAGGUCAAGGAAAUUGCAGGGAGAUUUGCCUAAUGAUGUUAAUAGUGAAGGAUUCUUUUUGCAGUUUAAAGGAUCAUUAGUUCCAGCGUAUAGUCACAUAAUCUUUUUAUCUAUGUUGCAUCUCAUAUUUUUGACACCCUAAUGUGUGUUUAUUUAUUUGGGAGCUACCCUUCGUAUCGAUGUUGCACCGCAUAUUUUGACAGCCUAAUGCGCGUUCAUUAGUUCAAGAGCUAAUUUAGUUUGGGGUUUUCUUUAUUUAGUGUAAAAUAAGCAUGAGUUAAGGAAGGUCAAUCUCUUACUUCGUCUCAAUAAUACGAGGAUAAGUUGUUCCUGCAAUGUGAUAAACGAUGAAUGGUGGUACAUGCCAAACGCCAUGGUAAACUUUAACCUGUAAAUGGGGUACUUUUGUUGUGCAACUUAUGUCGUCCAGAGGCACCAGAGUUCCCUGCGCAGUGCUGUCUCCGUCCUGUAUGGGAGUGCAACGAAGUUACGAAACCUACAACUGAUGGACGCUGGGCUUAUCUUGCUUGUGCAAUUUGGAUUGGUUUAUAAAGAUCCAACUUGUUAUUAUCAGCAGGCUCAUCAGUACUAUUAAAACUCUUUUUCACUUUGAGUUCUGUUUAGCGUUCGCAACUAAAUGCAUAUACUGUCAUAGCAAUGAUAUAUACCGAACCAAUUUAUUGCAGAAACAUGCCUAUCAGACAUCAAGAGAAUGGAGCCCAUUUGUGGGGUGAACAAAAUUAAGUAAAAUUAGUAAGGAUCACUGGAAGCUAUUGUGUAGUACUCGUGGCGUGUCCUAUGGAGCUUGCAUCCAGCUAGCAGAUGAGGACAGGCUUCAUCUGAUAUCUUUCGAUGAGGAUGAGGUUAAUCAGUGCAUUCAGUUACUGUCUUUCUGCAACAAGCACAGGCACCAUCUAAUGAGCAUUCACUUUCUGAUGAAAAAAUUGAGCCGAUAUCCGAAACUUUUCCAGCUACACUCCACUUAUUUCAUCUGGGCGUGCUCGAAUUGGUAUGAUAUUUAACCACUUCUAUUACUUUCUGGCUAGUGCACCCUUAAUAAAAAGUUGAAUAACAAUGACCUUUGUUUAUUCCAUGUUCAUAUAUCUUUUCGUUAUGGGUUGGCUGAGCCUUAUGAUAGGAGGAGGGGACGGGAAGAGCUGAAGUUCUAGCGGCUACAUCUGUGAAGAGGUUAUGUGUGGAAAACAGGCUGUACUUGUUUAAUGGUUUCUUGCUUACUGCCAAAAUGGUUCAGUGGGCAAUUCAUUCUUUGCUGAUGAAUUGGAUCCUCUCCAUCUGCUUGCCGGAACAAAAUCUACAAAAGGUCGAGGAAAUUGCAGGAAGAUUUGCCUAAUGGUGUUCAUGGUGAAGGUGGAGUUUAAAGGACUGAGAAGUCUGGUUCUCAUAUGUUUGAUUUAUUCAUGUGCUAAAAGUUCUCGAAUGUCUUACUACAGUUCGUAAAUAGUUUACUAGGCUGCCUGAAAAUACAAUUCUUUCUUCGUUUAUAUUUUGUCAGACAAAUGAGUUGACAUGUUUCAUCUUCCUAUUGUUUUCCCUGAAUUGAAACUCUAUGCAUUUGACAAACAUUUUGGA